rnacentral:rRNA from 1 species
GACGAACGCUGGCGGCGUGCUUAACACAUGCAAGUCGAACGGAAAGGCCCUGCUUUUGUGGGGUGCUCGAGUGGCGAACGGGUGAGUAACACGUGAGUAACCUGCCCUUGACUUUGGGAUAACUUCAGGAAACUGGGGCUAAUACCGGAUAGGAGCUCCUGCUGCAAGGUGGGGGUUGGAAAGUUUCGGCGGUUGGGGAUGGACUCGCGGCUUAUCAGCUUGUUGGUGGGGUAGUGGCUUACCAAGGCUUUGACGGGUAGCCGGCCUGAGAGGGUGACCGGGCACAUUGGGACUGAGAUACGGCCCAGACUCCUACGGGAGGCAGCAGUGGGGAAUAUUGCACAAUGGGCGGAAGCCUGAUGCAGCAACGCCGCGUGCGGGAUGACGGCCUUCGGGUUGUAAACCGCUUUCGCCUGUGACGAAGCGUGAGUGACGGUAAUGGGUAAAGAAGCACCGGCUAACUACGUG